ACAGAGAUCUCAACCGUUGUUCGGAAUCACUGGGCUUAAAGGGUGUGUAGGCGGCGCACUAAGUUGAUUGUGAAAUCCUCUGGCUUACCCAGAGAAGAGCAGUCAAAACUGGAGUGCUAGAGUAUGGUAGGGGGGAGUGGAACUUCUGGUGGAGCGGUGAAAUGCGUUGAUAUCAGAAGGAACGCCGGAGGCGAAAGCGACUCUCUGGGCCAUAACUGACGCUGAGGCACGAAAGCCAGGGGAGCAAACGG
rnacentral:rRNA from 1 species